UGGGAAGUGCCGGUCUGUGGACAGAGGGCCUUUUGUUCUUUGUGUUUGACAUGGACGACAUAUGCUCGUAUUCUAGGAUUCCAGCUGUUGUGGAAUUGUCAAAAGCAGCAGGACCGGUGGCGUAAGACCUGGCCGCCAUGAGGAAGGUGGCGUUAGGGGAGUGAGAUUUGGUCUUGAGAAGGAUAUUGGUAGUCUGUCCAGGGGUGAUGACAAGAGUGUUGGUUUUAAAUGGUUUCACAUAGACUGCAUCAACUUCAACUACGGUGACAGUAUGGUUGGCUAUGCUGAAGAAGAGCUCGUCAUUGAGUGCAGCAUUGAUUAGCCGGAGGAGAUAGGUCUUUCCCGGUUUCACCUUCAGCCUAAAUGUAUCUGCCACAAAUAUAAUCUUUAUUUAAAUGAACCUAUUCCUAGGCCAAAUUAAGUGUCAUUAAAUUGAAUUGAAGCAGUACAAAAUACCCUUAGCGGAACAGUUAUACAAAGGCCCGGGAAGACCAUUAAUGGUGUAAGCGUCGGAGACAUUUGGGGCCCCUCCUGUUUGCAUUGCCUGGUUAAUCAUAGUCUCUGUGUCAGCUUUCCACCACUCUCCUGCAAUAUUUUUUUUUUAAAAAAAAGCCCAACUCAUACAACUUAGAUCACGUACUAGAAGAAGGCAGUAUAUGAUUUAAACGUAUAAAUUUAAGUUACCAAAGAUGAUGGGGACUUCUUUAAAGGGUUGAGGAAAUGGGUAAGGGACACCUCGCUUAGGUAGGAUGACAAGGGGUCCAUAAAGAGUUGCUCUCAGCCAUGAGAUGUGGGCAUGCCAGAAUAAGGUCCCUCUCUGCCCUGUGAUCGUGAAGUUGUACACAUAGCUCUGUCCCGUCUGAAUUGGGCACUGUGUGACGUAGGCAGGUCCAUCUGCCCAUCCGCUUCUUAGUUGCCGGAUUCCAUGCCUGUUUCUCUCAAUUUAAGCAUACAUGCAGCAAUCUUUUAUCACUAAAUGCAACUGGAGAUGAGUACUAAGGACAGGAACAACAAUAAAAAUAAAAGGAGGGCUGCAUACCAGUGAAUUGUGAUAUUGUUCUGAACAUUGUUAACCACCUUAAUUAAGACCCGAUCACCUUCUCUCGCUAUGAUCCGAGGCCCUGGGAAUUGCCCAUUGACUGUGACAAUACUUUUUGUUUGACAUAAUCUGGUCACUUUCUGCAGUUUAAUCUGCAAAAGACCAAUAGAAAGCAUAAUGUUAUUUCACAAGGAAGUCAGCAAUGCAGCAUGGUAUGUCAAAUGUUGCGCAUGUCAAGUAAUACUUACAUCGAAGUUGUAGUGUCUGGUAAUGCCAGCAUGCUUUGCAAGUACCAGCUCAGGCAAAUUCCACAAUGCACAAAGUGCAAAUAGCAUAACCCUCAGAAAGCAGGAACUCAUCUCAACUUGUUUUUCCUUUUCUAGGCACGUAGAUUUUAAUCUGUUUGAUGGACAAAGGCCGGUUGGAUGCAGAGAAAGAAUCAAGUGUGGGUGCUUAUAUAGGAGGAGAAUAAAGGGUGUGUUUGGUUAAUUAGGUGAUAAGAAUUGAGAUAUCCUACAAACAGCUAGCCCAUGGCCUGGGCAACAACUUGGACACUGAUCCAACAAGCUGCUGGUCAAGGCUUGCGUUAGAGUGCUGUCAAAGUCUAUAUUAUCUCAUUUCCAUUCAUUCUAACGGUUUCUCUGGAGUUCCUGAAAUGCCCCCUCGGUCAUUCAUGGACAUAUCUCCAGUGCUUUUUGGACAGGCUCACCUCCUAUUUUUACCCAGCUGGUUAUUUCUAAUGAGCAGUAGCCAGUAGGCGUGCACUAUCAGCAUUUUUUUGUUAGGAAAAAAGAAUUCAUAUGAUAAUUUGAUAAUAAAAUUCUGUCUAAUUAACUAAAUUUGAGUUGCACAAUUUGCACAUUAUUUUUGUCAAGGCCUAAAAGUUGAUCGGAACCCUGGCUAAAGUUCUUUAUUUAAACUGACAUUUUUCAUAAUUAAUCAAGCUUCUUAACGGAAUCAUUACUAGCAAAUCAUUUAUCGUAGCUCUCCGGUGUGAGAAUCAUGGGGUAAAAAUGGCAUUUUCGUUUAAAGUUAUGAACAGUAUUCUGAGGGCAUUUCUGUCCUGACUCCAUGAGAGCAACUCUGUGGGUGGAGUAGAAAAUGGACAACAUUCACAGUAGGCAUGAUCUACUAAAGGAAAAGGAUUGAUUUAUGAAAGAGGGGCAAUGGGCAUGGUUGCCUGGUAGCCUUCAAGCUCCUACCGUUGACACUUGGUAAUCAAGCCAAGGCGUUACACCAUCCUUUUAGUUGCCGGCUGUUUCUCAUUUUACAACCAUUAAAAUAAAAAGGAUAUUUAUUAGAAGAAUAUGGGUACUAGUUUUUCCUUUCUCCUUUAAUUAAUAAAAAUUGUUAUUAUUGUUAAUUUAAUUCUAACUUAAUAAAAAAUACAAGAUAAAUUUCUUCAGCCAUUCCAUAGUAUUAUAAGCAUAAAAUCUCAUUGGCAAUAACUAUCAUAUCAUUAUAAUAAAAUAUUCACCUUAGAUUUAGAUUAUGUUUUGUCCUCAAAUAAUAAAAAUAUUAAAUUAAAUUAAAUUAUUUUAUCAUAUUUAUUGGUUUUAUCUAAAAUAUCAAAUAUAACUAAAAUUAGUUAGAAAUUCAUAUAUUUCUAAAUUAUUUAAUAUUAAAAUAUUAAAUUAAGUUAAUUGAGUUUGAGGUAACAUAUAAGAAUAAUUUAUUAAUUUAAUUUUUUUUUUCUUUUACUUUUUUUGUACUUCUUCUUUUCUUCUUUAUUUUUAUUUUCUUACAUUUUUCUUCAAUUUUUUUGGAAACUAAAUAUAGUAUUAAUGUAAUUGAGUAAUAGGGAAAUUUUUUGUCACUAAUAUAAUGUAAAUUUAUUUAUACUAAUAGAAAAUUGAGUGAUAUUUUUAAAGUAUUUAAUACAAUUUCUUGUAUAUUAUCUUUUGUAGCAUUAUACAAAUUUUAUAUAAAAUAUAAAACAUUUAUUCAACUAGGCAAUGUAACAUUUCAGAGUUCAUGAUAUCACUCAAUAAUAAUAUUAUAAAAGUUUUUGAUACGUUUUAAUAUGAUUUUACUCAAUAUUAUUUGACUAAUUAUAUGUCAAAUGUCAAUUUUUUUCUUUAUUGAUUUUUUUAAAGAAAAUAUUAUUAGCAUAAAAAAUAAAGUGGACAACUAGGAAAAAAAAUAAUUUAUUUUAAUACGUUGAUAAGACACUUUGAAAUUAUUUUGUAACAUUGGUGAUUAUAGUUAGUGAGUAACUACUUGGCAAUUCUAAUUCAAAUGAAAUAUUCGAGUAUUAAAACUAUCUUGAGAUUUACUCAAUUUAUUAAAAAUUAAUUGAUUAAAAGAGAUGAAAUAAUUUUUAUAUUUGAAGUGUAACUCAUUUUUUUUUUAUAUAUAAAUACCCUUGAUUAUUUUAAGUAUUUACAUGAAUGCUUUAAAAAAAAUAAUUAUUUUUAUAAGAAAAAAUGAAAGUGUUUUUGUUAAAAUGAUGUCAAAAAAAAUAAUGAAGGGUUAAAUUUCCAAAAUUGGGUUUUCAAUAACCCUUUAAUCAAAUAACUCAUUUACCAAUGCUAUAUUUGAUUUAUGAAUAUUAGAGAGAAAAAAAACUAAAUAAAUUUAAGGUUAAUAAAUUACUUUUGCAUAGUUCUUUUAAUUCAUUUUUUUUAAUAUAUAAAGAUUAUAUAAUUUCAAAAUAUAUAAAUAUUUAGCUAAUUUUUAAUUGCAACCGAUUCUCUUUUAUGUUUUUUAUGAUAAAAAUAGGGAAUAAAUAAAUAAAUUUUCUUAAUAAUUUUUUGGGACCAAAUAUAAUCUAAACGAAGGUUUAGUAUCUACUAAAAACAAGUUUACUUAUAUAUGAAAAAUUAGAUUAUAUCAUAGUUAAAUAACAUAAAACAAAAAUCAUAGACCAUUCAAUGAAAGACUAAUAGAUCACAUCUCAAGGAUGGUCAAUCACCCAACCGGGCUAAAAUGAAUUUUAAUUAAUCACUUAAUAAAUAAAUUAGUAUUUAAUGUCACUUGUCAUUGUAUAAAAUAAAAAAUAAUGACUAAUUUUAUUAAGAGUAUUAAGAAAUUGAUAAAAUGUAUAAUUUAAUGGUGAUAAUGAUUUUAAAAUCUUAAAGAUAUUAUUUAUGUUUUCUCAUUUAUUUGAUGGACAGUCAGUCAAAUUAAUUGGCACCUAAAAACAAAAAUGUUAUAACCAUCCAAUAAUUUGAGAAAAAUUGUAAAAAUGGAGAACCAGACCAAAGUACCUCCCUUGCUUUAUACUUCCUGCUAAUAUUAUCAUGGUAUUGCUUUCUUAUGUUGUCUUUUUCCUCUUCCUACUCUCUAUAAACAACCAAUUAAAAGAAAAUUUGAGUGUUGAUAGAUGAUUCUUUCAUUGAAUAAUUCAAUUAGAAUUACAAACCUAUGCAUAUAAAAAAUCCCCCUCUUGUUUGGGAGUGUGGGUAUAGAAUUUGAAUCAAUAAAAGGCAAUCAUCAAACCGAUACCCAUUCUGGGCGAUGCAAGAAGAAAAAACAAAAAAACAAAAAACAGAGGAGAAAAAGCAAAGCAACUUGUUGAGUAUCAAACUCAACAUUUGGGAAGAUCCGAUGGAGGAGGAGGUAGCUUUUGAUUAGGACGCUUUCCAUCCAUGACAACCCAGGCCAUCUUCAACCCCCAGCUGGUGUGGACUUCCAGGUGGCAAUGCAUAAACCAAACACCUGCUCCACAAAUUUCAGAGUGAUAACAAAUCAGACCAUAUAAGCUACGAAAUUCAACCGAGUAAUAUCUAGAAUCUAGUGGUAAUUAAUGUAAAUAUCGUCAUAUUAAUGUCAUCACUUGUACGCACCUGGAUUGUCUGCGUGGAAACGGAUGGCCACCCAACCGCCUGAAGGCACCCCCACGGUGUUUCUCUCUAUGGGAUCGACCAAGUUGAAAUUGGCAGGAUCCUUCUUAGGAUCAAAGUUUCCGAAUCCCUGUCCCACCACAUAGAAGUUAAAGCCGUGCAGAUGAAGAGGGUGGCUCUCUGCACCUAUGAUACUAGUGUCCUGCAACACCAACUCCACUCUUGUAUUGAAGGGUAGCACCACCACCUUGGUCCCACUGUUUACAAGAAUGUUGCUUGGGGGAGUGCCCGUGUAGUUGAAUUUGAAGGGUGGGUUUGCUGGGAAAUCAGUGGUGUAGACGCCCUUGGACUUUCCAAAGAAAUGAGCUUGAAGAAGGGCUGUGCUUGGCUGCACAAAUGACACAUUGUUGAUGGCAGCUGCUACCAUGGUGUUGUUGGGUCCUGGGCACGCUUGGUUCCGUGAGCAUUGGAUUAGCCCCAGUCCCACCGUGAAGAAGAAGCGUCUAUUCACUGUUUGUGGGACUUUUGCUGGAAAUUUGUUAGAGGCUAAGCUGCGUAAUUUCUUGCUGAAUUUCAUGGCAAAAAUUGUGUCAUUGAACAUGGGAAGGGCUGGUUUGAGAACAGAGGGCUUUCUGUUCUUAGUGUUUGACACGGACGAUUUGUGCUCAUAUUCUAAAAUUCCAGCUGUUGUAGAAUUGUCAAAAGCAGCAGGACCGGUGGCGUAAGACCUGGCCGCCAUGAGGAAGGUGGCGUUAGGGGAGUGAGAUUUGGUCUUGAGAAGGAUAUUGGUAGUCUGUCCAGGGGUGAUGACAAGAGUGUUGGUUUUAAAUGGUUUCACAUAGACUGCAUCAACUUCAACCACGGUGACAGUAUGGUUGGCUAUGCUGAAGAAGAGCUCGUCAUUGAGUGCUGCAUUGAUCAGCCGGAGGAGAUAAGUCUUCCCCGGUUU
rnacentral:lncRNA from 1 species